ensembl:lncRNA
UGCUUAUUCAAUGAGCUUAAGCUGAUUACAUUUGCAAUUAAUACGUUCUUUCUAGGGGUACCACUUGGAGAUAGAACCAGGAGCCAAAUUUUGCUAUGAGAUGCUGCAACCCAGCUCCUCAGAGUUCUGCCCGGCCUUUGCUCACACAUCCAGCCUUCAUCAGCUGCAAGUCAGAGAAGUCACCUGAACAAGAAUUCAACCAAGAAGCACCUAACAAGGAGUCCAUGGAUGCUACAGACUUACCACUGAUUCCUUUUGUCAUUAAGCUAAGUGCUGUUGUCAGUGCAGGCUUUCCAGUGAGGGCACCACUUCUGCUGAAGGUGGUAGAGGCAUCUGCUCAGGGAGUUGGGUGCGAGGCAAGGCUGGCAUACCUUGCAUACUGUUGCAGCACACAGCCUCUUCUGCAAAAUCCUAAACCUUCCUAUUGCCAUACCCAGAGGACACUUGCUGGGUUGCCAGGAAAGGAGCUCUGCACAGGCUGAGAAAUUGUGGUGUUAUUCCAUUUGUGUUCAAGAACCAGCGGGGUCUGCAGCUGGCUUUCACGUCAAUCUGCUAAUGUCAGCAUCAGCAAGUUUCUGUUGGCUCGCUUCCUGCCACAGAAAGGGAUCCUGAAUACUCAGCAACCUCAGCAUCUUCAUCCUUCUGCAGCUGGUUACUGGAAUAGCUUAUGAGCUGUGUGAGGCAGGAGCUGCAUCUGAACUCCCAUAGAAGUUCAGUGCUCCGAGCUGGAAACACGCUCUAGAACAGAAGUUCUUCCAAAGAACCAGAUGGUGGAUGGAAGGCUUUACUUCUGUGCUCCUAAUGCUGCAGGCAUUGGGUUUCAUUUCUUCACUCCUAAAAUAAAUGGAUGGACUUUGAUAUUAAAAGCUCUAGAAUACAAACUUUUCCCCAUUUCCCUCUUCACUGACAGAGCUUGAAGUGUCUUCUCACUCAUGAGAAGAUGAUGCCACUGGGCACAGAUUCUCAUUGAAGUGUUAAUCUGCUGACUGUGACUCUGAGUGUGACUUCCCUGAGAUAUUAUUAACCAUCUCUAUGUCAUUUACCUGAUCCUUCCCAAAGCUCAUUGCGCAGCAUCUGACAUGUGUUGCAAUUCUGUGGUGAAAGCUGUUAUUACCAAAAUCACAUUCAUCUUUUAGAAUAUAUGUUUCGAAUCAUGAUUAGAAUAAAGAGGUGUCUUAUAAAUAUUUUUUGUGUGCAUAAUCCUACAUUAGGUGAUAAUCUGAAAUAUUGCAGGUCACAUGUCACUUUUUUUCCUAUUUUCUAAAGUUACCUUGGUCAAGAAGAGUCUGUAAAGAGCCUAAACUCUCUGGAGAUUUUAAUAUGUAUAAAACCCACAGAUAUUCAUGUUGUUUUACACUGGUGUAUUUGUAUUGAUACGUUUGCCUUAUCUAUUCUUUGAGCUAGACUCAAGCACAUGUUGCUUCAAAUAGAAACUUAUAACUUCGACUUGUUCUAUCAUCUUGGAUUAACUUUCCUGAUGUUCUCAGGGUGCAGGUCUGCAUCAUUCUUAACCCUCUUGUGAAGCACAGAAUACCAGCAUCUCCAAAUGUCUUCAAAAGGUACUGAGCCAGUGAUAAAUGUUUACAUCACAGUUUCUAAACUACCUCAGUUUCUCUCAAUUGCUCCAUCUCCAAAAUUCAUCACCUGGAAAAAGUGCCAUGGGGAUGAUGUAGAGGGAAAAUUUAACUUCACUUCUCUUGAAGGCCCAGCUCACAUAGUGGUAGCAGUCUUAAAUUAGUCACUGCACAGCAGCAUGUGGCAGUGGCUUUAAACAGUGACGAGAAACACUUGCAACACUUUGCAUAUGACAUUCUGCAUGCUUUCUGUCUACCUCAAUGGCCAUUGGAAUUAUGAUAGCUGAGGAGCAGUAUAUAUCAGUAGUGUUAUGAAAGCUUUGGUAUACCUUAAUGCCUUCAUCUUACUUGCAUGUGAAAAUGAUUUACUAGCAC